ACGAACGCUGGCGGCGUGCCUAAUACAUGCAAGUAGAACGCUGAAGAGAGGAGCUUGCUCUUCUUGGAUGAGUUGCGAACGGGUGAGUAACGCGUAGGUAACCUGCCUUGUAGCGGGGGAUAACUAUUGGAAACGAUAGCUAAUACCGCAUAACAAUGGAUGACACAUGUCAUUUAUUUGAAAGGGGCAAUUGCUCCACUACAAGAUGGACCUGCGUUGUAUUAGCUAGUAGGUGAGGUAACGGCUCACCUAGGCGACGAUACAUAGCCGACCUGAGAGGGUGAUCGGCCACACUGGGACUGAGACACGGCCCAGACUCCUACGGGAGGCAGCAGUAGGGAAUCUUCGGCAAUGGGGGCAACCCUGACCGAGCAACGCCGCGUGAGUGAAGAAGGUUUUCGGAUCGUAAAGCUCUGUUGUAAGUCAAGAACGAGUGUGAGAGUGGAAAGUUCACACUGUGACGGUAGCUUACCAGAAAGGGACGGCUAACUACGUGCCAGCAGCCGCGGUAAUACGUAGGUCCCGAGCGUUGUCCGGAUUUAUUGGGCGUAAAGCGAGCGCAGGCGGUUUGAUAAGUCUGAAGUUAAAGGCUGUGGCUCAACCAUAGUUCGCUUUGGAAACUGUCAAACUUGAGUGCAGAAGGGGAGAGUGGAAUUCCAUGUGUAGCGGUGAAAUGCGUAGAUAUAUGGAGGAACACCGGUGGCGAAAGCGGCUCUCUGGUCUGUAACUGACGCUGAGGCUCGAAAGCGUGGGGAGCGAACAGGAUUAGAUACCCUGGUAGUCCACGCCGUAAACGAUGAGUGCUAGGUGUUGGAUCCUUUCCGGGAUUCAGUGCCGCAGCUAACGCAUUAAGCACUCCGCCUGGGGAGUACGACCGCAAGGUUGAAACUCAAAGGAAUUGACGGGGGCCCGCACAAGCGGUGGAGCAUGUGGUUUAAUUCGAAGCAACGCGAAGAACCUUACCAGGUCUUGACAUCCCGAUGCUAUUUCUAGAGAUAGAAAGUUACUUCGGUACAUCGGUGACAGGUGGUGCAUGGUUGUCGUCAGCUCGUGUCGUGAGAUGUUGGGUUAAGUCCCGCAACGAGCGCAACCCCUAUUGUUAGUUGCCAUCAUUCAGUUGGGCACUCUAGCGAGACUGCCGGUAAUAAACCGGAGGAAGGUGGGGAUGACGUCAAAUCAUCAUGCCCCUUAUGACCUGGGCUACACACGUGCUACAAUGGUUGGUACAACGAGUUGCGAGUCGGUGACGGCAAGCUAAUCUCUUAAAGCCAAUCUCAGUUCGGAUUGUAGGCUGCAACUCGCCUACAUGAAGUCGGAAUCGCUAGUAAUCGCGGAUCAGCACGCCGCGGUGAAUACGUUCCCGGGCCUUGUACACACCGCCCGUCACACCACGAGAAUUUGUAACACCCGAAGUCGGUGAGGUAACCUUUUGGAGCCAGCCGCCUAAGGUGGGAUAGAUGAUUGGGGUG
rnacentral:rRNA from 1 species